GGCUGGUCCAGAGGUAGUGAGUUCUCUCAAUGGACUGUUCACAAUCAGUUACAAAUUCCUUGUUCUACUCUUUCCUCCUUUUUUACUAUUGCACUUGACUAGUCUUUA
ensembl:Y_RNA Y_RNA Y RNA